GCGGCAGUAGCUCAGUGGUAGAACCCCGCCUCGCAUUCGGGGAGACCUGGGUUCGAUUCCCGGCUGCUUCC
rfam:Toxocara canis scaffold327, whole genome shotgun sequence.